CAGGAGAAAGUUAUGCUACAGGACCCAGCUGAGAAAGCCUUCUAGAACCUCUCUUUGUAACCAGAAAGUCAAAGUUUCCUACAAUUUAAUCACUUCUGAG
rnacentral:lncRNA from 1 species